AUCCUGUAGUCGUAACAGGUAGCCGUAAAGUUUGAUCCUGGCUCAGGAUAGGUCGUAGCUGGUAGCCGUAGAGUUUGCGGGUGCUCAUGCCUAGGAAUCUGCCUGGUACUGGGGGAUAACGUCCGGAAACGGGCGCUAAUACCGCAUACGUCCUGAGGGAGAAAGUGGGGGAUCUUCGGACCUCACGCUAUCAGAUGAGCCUAGGUCGGAUUAGCUAGUUGGUGGGGUAAAGGCCUACCAAGGCGACGAUCCGUAACUGGUCUGAGAGGAUGAUCAGUCACACUGGAACUGAGACACGGUCCAGACUCCUACGGGAGGCAGCAGUGGGGAAUAUUGGACAAUGGGCGAAAGCCUGAUCCAGCCGUGCCGCGUGUGUGAAGAAGGUCUUCGGAUUGUAAAGCACUUUAAGUUGGGAGGAAGGGCAGUAAGUUAAUACCUUGCUGUUUUGACGUUACCAACAGAAUAAGCACCGGCUAACUUCGUGCCAGCAGCCGCGGUAAUACGAAGGGUGCAAGCGUUAAUCGGAAUUACUGGGCGUAAAGCGCGCGUAGGUGGUUCAGCAAGUUGGAUG
rnacentral:rRNA from 1 species